rnacentral:lncRNA from 1 species
AGAGAGGAGAAGGGAAGGAAGCAGAGGAGCGCGGGGAGCAGGGACGACCUGCUAGGCUCGCCGACCGGAGUGACGCAACUGAUGUGGCUGGCGGCGGUCGAAGGCGAAUGGCAGCUACGAGGCGGCUUCGCGCAGCACGCGAGCAGGAGGCGGGACGCACAGGGAGAAGGAGAGCGGGUGAGGCGCUGGGCUACAGGCAAUGGGUCGGGCGAUGUUGGCUUGAGGCGGAGUUGGGCCUGGACCAGAGGAGAGGUGGCGCUGGUGGAGGCUGACUCGCGGGCGGGAGGAAGGAGGAGGCGGCUGCGGGUUGGCCCGAUGGGGAAAAUGAGGUGGGAUGGCAGCGCUGUCGGGAGGGGAAUUGGUUAGCUAGGGUUAGGGUAGGAUUGGACUACAUUUUGUAUAUAAAUAGCAAACGGAUCUAAAUGAGGUCUAAUUGGACCUUCGAUCUAAAUCGAACGAUUGCGGUAAAAAUAGGUUAGGGGUCCUACUUAAAAACCGAUGACGGUUUAGCGUAUUACG